UACGUAGGGGGCAAGCGUUGUCCGGAUUUAUUGGGCGUAAAGAGCGUGUAGGCGGCCAGACAGGUCCGUUGUGAAAACUCGAGGCUCAACCUCGAGACGCCGAUGGAAACCGUCUGGCUAGAGUCCGGAAGAGGAGAGUGGAAUUCCUGGUGUAGCGGUGAAAUGCGUAGAUAUCUGGAGGAACACCGGUGGCGAAGGCGGCAUCCUGGACCGGUAUUGACGCUGAGGCGCGAAAGCCAGGGGAGCAAACGGG
rnacentral:rRNA from 1 species